GGAAUAUUGCACAAUGGGCGGAAGCCUGAUGCAGCGACGCCGCGUGAGGGAUGAAGGCCUUCGGGUUGUAAACCUCUUUCAGCAGGGACGAAGCGUGAGUGACGGUACCUGCAGAAGAAGCACCGGCUAACUACGUGCCAGCAGCCGCGGUAAUACGUAGGGUGCGAGCGUUGUCCGGAAUUACUGGGCGUAAAGAGUUCGUAGGCGGUUUGUCGCGUCGUUUGUGAAAACCCGGGGCUCAACUUCGGGCUUGCAGGCGAUACGGGCAGACUUGAGUGUUUCAGGGGAGACUGGAAUUCCUGGUGUAGCGGUGAAAUGCGCAGAUAUCAGGAGGAACACCGGUGGCGAAGGCGGGUCUCUGGGAAACAACUGACGCUGAGGAACGAAAGCGUGGGUAGCAAA
rnacentral:rRNA from 1 species